rnacentral:rRNA from 1 species
UCUGCCUGGGUGUCACGC